GAGGAGAAUUUGUCCAGUCCCCAGGUCAGGGUUGGAGGAGUGACCCCAGAAAGGAGAUGUGGUGCCCUCCAUAUUUCAGUGCCGAGCAUCCUGCCCAAUUCCAGAAGAGCUGAGAUGAUCCAGCUCCCAGUGAGGCAGGACAGGGAUGGAGAACAGAUUUCCCCACGGUCAGGAGCAGCUGCGUCACAUUUUUCCUCAAAAUCAUCUCUAGGACACAAAAAUUAGUGGAGAAAUGGGAACAAAAAAAAAAAAAAAACUCCAGACCUGAGUUGCUACCGGGAUCUCCCAGCCUGGAUCCCCCAUCCCGCUGGAUCGCGCUGCCGCUGGCACCGCUCGCACGGAGCACGAAGCCUCCAAAGCCUCGUGAUCAACUGUGUUGUUCUUUUUCAGCAGCCACGGUAUUUAUAAAUGGACCUUUCCAAGCCACAAGAGUGUGGUGGUGCCAGAGGUCCACGGUCAGGUGGAGAAAGGGCAGAGUCAGAGGAGGAAGAGGAGAAGGAGGAGGCUCUUGGAUGGUUUCCUCCUGCCUUGGAGGCAAAUGUUUCUCUUCAAGAUGGAACACGCCGGAACCUGCAAUGAGCCCUGGAGUUUGCUUUCCCAAAAGGAGCAGAAAAGGGUGAGUGAGGAGACAGAGCUCUUCCCAUGGGGAUAAAUACCCAGUUGAGUAACCCCCGUUUGAGUAACCCUAAUAACCCUCUUCCAUUAAUGCUCAGUACGAGCUGAGUCAUCAGCAGGAGAAUGUUCCUGCAUUUUCAGGAACAAACUGGGAUUUUACAGCCCAACUGGAUGAUGGCACUUAGGAAGCAAUCAGUUCCAUGUGCUCAUCCUCCCGACCUCAGGGGGCUGGAAAAGGUCUUGAGAUGGGCCCCCCAAAAAAGCCCUUCUGCUUUCAGCUGCCAGGGAAUGCUGAUGGCGAAUCCAAGGAACGUUCUCAUGGAGCAAUUGUGCAAGAGCAGGCUUGUCCAUUAGCUGUCAGACCUACCCAUGGUUAUAAAGCCCCAGGUGAAAGGGCUGGGAUGGAGCAGCCAGCUGAGGAAAAGGGGGGGAUAAUAAACUCGCUGAACACCGCGGAGGAGAAAGGCUGCCAUGAGUAUCAGAUUGGACAUGAUAAACUCAACCACCGAGGGAACCAACCAAUUACUGGGAGAAAAAGGACAUGAUGUAGGAGGUCGGGGUGGAUUGUCCUGCUGUGGAUGUGCCAAGGUCAAGGAGAAGGAAAAACAAGCCCGACCAAGGCGUGGCGGCAGCGAAGGAGUCACCGGCCUCCCCUACUCCUCACAUUCUUUGAAUAG